rnacentral:rRNA from 1 species
GACGAACGCUGGCGGCGUGCUUAACACAUGCAAGUCGAACGAUGAAGCCCAGCUUGCUGGGUGGAUUAGUGGCGAACGGGUGAGUAACACGUGAGCAACGUGCCCGAAACUCUGGAAUAAAUACCGGAAACGGUGGCUAAUACUGGAUAUGUGCCAGGGGGGCAUCUCCUCUGGUUGGAAAGAUUUUUCGGUUUCGGAUCGGCUCACGGCCUAUCAGCUUGUUGGUGGGGUAAUGGCCUACCAAGGCGACGACGGGUAGCCGGCCUGAGAGGGUGACCGGCCACACUGGGACUGAGACACGGCCCAGACUCCUACGGGAGGCAGCAGUGGGGAAUAUUGCACAAUGGGCGCAAGCCUGAUGCAGCAACGCCGCGUGAGGGAUGACGGCCUUCGGGUUGUAAACCUCUUUUAGUAGGGAAGAAGCGCAAGUGACGGUACCUGCAGAAAAAGCACCGGCUAACUACGUG